rnacentral:rRNA from 1 species
CCAAAGGGAUGCCUCAGUAACGGCGAGUGAAGCGGCAAAAGCUCAAAUUUGAAACCCUCGGGAUUGUAAUUUGAAGAUUUGGCAUUGGAGAAAGCUAACCCAAGUUGCUUGGAAUAGUACGUCAUAGAGGGUGACAACCCCGUCUGGCUAACCGUUCUCCAUGUAUUGCCUUAUCAAAGAGUCGAGUUGUUUGGGAAUGCAGCUCAAAGUGGGUGGUAAACUCCAUCUAAAGCUAAAUACUGGUGAGAGACCGAUAGCGAACAAGUACUGUGAAGGAAAGGUGAAAAGAACUUUGAAAAGAGAGUGAAAUAGUAUGUGAAAUUGUUGAUAGGGAAGGAAAUGAGUGGAGAGUGGCCGAGGUUUCAGCCGCCCCUCGUGGGCGGUGUACUGCCGACGCCGAGUCAUCGAUAGCGAGACGAGGGUUACAAAUGGGAGCGCCUUUCGGGCGUUCUCCCCUAACCCUCCACACUGCCACCGACGACAUAAUCCACCCAUUUCACCCGUCUUGACCCCCCGGGAACAA